rnacentral:rRNA from 1 species
UCGCGAAUCUUCGGCAAUGAGCGCAAGCUUGACCGAGCGACGCCGCGUGCGGGAUGAAGGCCUUUGGGUUGUAAACCGCUGUCGUAGGGGAGCAAGAAAUGAGGGUACUCCCUCAAAUUUGAGCGAUCCUAGGAGGAAGGAGAGGCUAAGCUCGUGCCAGCAGCCGCGGUAAGACGAGCUCUCCAAACGUUAUUCGGUAUCACUGGGCUUAAAGAGUUCGUAGGCGGCUCCGUAGGUGAGGUGUGAAAUCCCUCGGCUCAACCGAGGAACUGCGCUUCAAACCGUGGAGCUAGAGGUAGACAGGGGUAAGCGGAACAGAUGGUGGAGCGGUGAAAUGCGUUGAUAUCAUCUGGAACACCGGUGGCGAAAGCGGCUUACUGGGUCUUUUCUGACGCUGAGGAACGAAAGCUAGGGUAGCGAACG